rnacentral:lncRNA from 1 species
UUUUUUUUCUUCAAACAAGGCUUAUUGUUAAAUAUAAAUCAUGGGAAUCAGAGUUUUGGACUAGGGUUCUGCUGUAGGCCCCAACAAUCCAAGCUAAAUAUCAAAAUGGAGUUAUUCAUCUUAAAGUCCCAGUCAACAAGUGAUCUAAAUUUCUGAGAAACUAGGAUUAGAGAGACUACCAUCCACAUUUCCCAUGCAAGCCUGUUUAAAUUGGCAUGAUAAUGAAGUUCCUUUGAUCAUAAUCCUCACACAAAAAAAGUAACAGGAAAUAAUCUGAUGUUAACUAGUUAUUUCUCCAUCAUUCUGUCUUCUUAUCCUUUUCCUACAGGGAAAGUAACUUGCCUUUUAUUUUUGUUUCUGCUUGCUUUAUUCCUUGUCUACAAAAUCAGCCUCCUCUGCUGUGCUUAUUGGAACACUUAUUUUGUUGGAAUGAAACAAAUAGAAUGAAGGUGUUGCCUACCUACAAUCAAAUAUAAAGUCAAUUAAGAUCCUUAAAUUGGGGCUGGGAUUGUGGCUCAGUGGUAGAGCGAUC